AAAAUGCAAAUUACACUAGUUAGUCAAAAAAAAAAUCCACCUUCUGUUAAAAAUACAUUCAGAAUUAACAAAUGACUAUAAGAAAAAAAGGACAUUUGGAUUGUUAACACUUGCCUUCUAAAUAUUUGGAUUUAUAACAACAACAAAAAGCCCAGUCUAGAAAAAUAACAUUCUUCACUGGAUUUUUGAGGAGGAUACAGCUGUACAAUUCAACAACAGCAUUUCAGAUAUUCUCACACUACUGUGCUCUAAAACUCUUUCCAUAGCAGAUGUGUCCAUUAGUUUAUCCACUGUAGUAGUCAACAGUCUUGAAAUUGUUUUGGUGGUAGUGAUUUAGCUGCAAUGUAAGCAAGUAUGAAGGCCUAUUAGUGUGUGUGUGUGUGUGUGUGUGUGUGUGUGUGUGUGUUUGUAUGGCAGCAUCGAAAGUGUAGAAUUUUCAUUGCAAUGCCUCAAAAUUCUCUGUUUUUGCUUACUCUUACACUAGGAGAAGAGGCACUCUAACUUUCUUUCUCCUCUUACAGUCAUAGCAGAACCUUCUCACUUCUCGAAGACCAUGGUCUUCAGCGACUUUCUCGUCUUACCUCCAGGCAGCAGAAACCCCAGGCGCCUCUGCUCCUCUGCAUGCCAAUCCAUUUUAAAUGUGAGUAGCUUUCUCUUUUCUCUGAUCUCUUGCAAAAAAACCAAACCAAAAUAAAACGCCUCGCUGUUUUUCAACUCCAUUUCCCCAGGGGCAUUGCUAGAGGGAAGAAGCCUGCAAUACGCCUAGACAAAUUCAGGGAAAGAAGUUCUAGCCAAAUAUAUUCCUAUAGGAGGAGAACUCAGUUGGGAGUCCCUUUUAUAGUGAAAGCCCAUCUCUCGUUGGGACAGUGCCCACACUAAAGCAGAGAAAGUGGUUCCCUUACCUGACAUCAUUCCUACAAGCACUUCUCCUUUCUGGACACUCACUAGUCAUACUAUUGCGCUGCACUCUGAAAAGCAGCUGGCACUCGGUGUCAGUGCUGCUAUAAGAGCAAGUCUGGAUCCUUGUAAACCUGCACACGAACUCGAGAAACUCUAUUUCUUUCAUGGAGGCUUUUGCACUAGGGGUGAUACAGCCCACAGGAAAUAAGGGGACAUACUUCCCUCUUCUCAUUCAGCUUUUUUCUACAGUGGAUGCAGUUGUUUUUAAAAACAUACAGCAAUAUUUGGCAGCGGGGGUAGCAGGAUACAUUCUAGGAAAGUAUGCCAUUUAUUUGCAGCAAGAUGGCUGUUUCCUAGUAGAUACCGGUGCAGGCAUGGGAAGCAAAGGUAGAGAAGUGCCUUCAUCCUAUAGGCCGAUGAAAUAGCACUGGCUGGCUGGCUGGCUAGCUUGCUUAUAUUUGCUAACACUGAACUGAACCACAAACUUCACAAACAUUUCCUGAUAGGGAAUUUGAGGAAGCUUGGUGUUGGUACACUCCCAUAUAUAUAUGAUUAUAUAAACAGUAAAAAUAAACACAAUUAUUUUUAAAGUAAUUAGGCCGUUAUGGUGUUUAGCAAGAUCGAACCUAUAUAAAGCAAUGGAUUCUCCAAAAAUUGUGUAGUUAAGUAUAGUCAUCAUUUUUUAAUAGACCAGGAGUCUGAGCUAUGGAUAUGCAUUCAGGAGAUCAAAACUCUACUCCAGAGCCAGAAUACAUAUAUAAGUUUGCUGAUAUGCUGUGUUUAUCCCCAUAAGUGGAGAUAGAAUGUCAGUGAGUUGCUGCUUGGUCAGUGCUGCUGCUUCACUAUGUAACACGGUCCACGCUCCUUAACACACCUAUGUGAAAAGUAAGGUUAAGGAUGCAAUACUUCAUGCAUCAUAUCCCAGACUAAUUCCACUGAUAGUGAGUGAAUGUUAGGUUUACAGUGACUUCUGGUCCGAGCCUAAAAUGGCGAACAAGCCAACAAGAAUUAUAGAGCACCUUGAAAAUCUGCACCAGUGCAGUGUAGAUACAAUUAUGCAACUGCUUAAGAGUAGGAUGCUUGAUCUUGCAGGAAUACAGUUUUGAAAUUUACAUGUAUUAUCCACUAUACUAUGCAGAUUUCCUCAUAGUACAGUUUGGUUACACCCAUUUCACGUUAGUUGCUGGAAUCUGAUUAUGUUUAUAGUGCAUGUCUGUCCUGUACGCAUCCAGAUUUAUUUUUGUCUGUGACAUGUUACAUCCAUUGAAAGAUACAAAAAUGUGAGGUGGAGUGAGUUGGACUGGUGUUUCUAUAGGAACAGACUUUGAAAGUUGUCAUGGGGAAUGAUGGUUUUUAUAGGCCACACAGAAUGCAAACAUUUGGCAAGUGUAGAAAAACGUUGCCUGAAGACGACUUGAUGGGCAAUUUGCUAAUUUGUAGAAGAACCUCUCCCCCAUCAAGUGCCUACAGCUGGAAUACCCAUGUAAGUUUUAAAUAAAGAAAUGAGGGCAAUUCCGGUUCCAAAAAAUCCUGAGCAAAAUAUCUCUUCCCAUUGAAAAGCCAAUGAAGUGGCUGAAUAUACAGCUCAAAUUCAGAACAAACAGACGUUUCUAGGACUCCAAGGGUAUUUCAUAAAGACAUUGAUCUACUAGCAAAGUUUCCAAAGGCAUCUUGUUGCCAACUACAUAACAGCACAGCUUUUUUUUUCAGCCACGAUAAUACAGAAAGUUAAGAUACACAUUCUAACACACAACAGAUCCCCCAAAUAUCACAAAAAGGUCCUCAAAAAUGUUACCAACGCAACUACUCCCACCCCAACUAAAAAAACAAAACAAAACCCAGAAAGAAAUAUCUUAUAUGCUGCAGGUUUUUCUUUUUUUAAAAAAGCUCACCUACAUAGGAUUUUCAACUGGAAUUAAGUUAUAAAAGAGUAAACAUAGUUAAUACAUAUUCAGUUGGCCUCUGCUGAUAGAAAUAAUGCAGACGUCUCUGUCAUUAGUAAAAGACAUAUUUAGAGUCAUUUAUAAAAGCACCUAGAGUGCAGUAAAUAAAAACAGUGGGGUUAAGGAGCACUGUUUUUGUUGUUUCUUUACAGUUAUUACUUUAGUAAAUGUUCCUUUUCCCCUCAGCAUUUUCCAGCUCCCCAAAGAGCCCAGUUCUCUUAGAAGUAUUUUAAAGUGUAUUUGCAUCCCAGCCCUUCUGGAGACUUAAAGCACCUCUUCUGACUGCCAGCGGGUGGUUUUCUUACACAGCCAACUCUGGAACUACUGGGGAGCAGAGUCUAUUACCUGACACAGCCUUAGAAAUCUUUAACAAUUAAUGAACAGCAUGGUUGAGCCUAAAGGAAGUUACUUCAGAAAGUCCACACCGAAUUUCUCUGAUGUGUAACUUAGGAUAGGUUAAGGCAAGUAUGUAUUAUACAGCCUUUAGGGCAAACAACUUGCUGUCUAUUGACUUCUGUUUCAAGGUCAUCAUGGUAUCGUUAGUGUUUAUUGACUAAGAGGACACGGCUCCAGACAGAACCAAAAUGGAUGAGAUAUUGUUUCAUAAUUCAGAGGCAGGAGCAAAGGGAAGAGAAGAGAAGGCAGGCAGUGACCAGAAGAUGGUGCCACCGCUUCUCCUUCUGAACUUUCUGUAUAAGAAUUUGGAAAAUCCAAGAUGGGAGAGAAAGGAUCUUGUGCACUGCAGUCUGUACUUGUGAGAAAGUGAGGUCUCCGUGUCCCAGCAUUCUUCUAGUAUUAUAUUUUGAAACAGAAAAGUUAAGACUUCUUCCUUCUUUUGCACCCACAGGAGGCCGUGCUGGAAUAAGUUCUUUGACUAGUCCUUCGACCCCAACCACAGACUUUGUUUUGUCUACUUUGACCUAAAAGAAAGAGAAAGAAAUAUAUAUAUAAUCAGCACAAAGGUUUGUAUACCCAUCAAACACUUUUUUGAGGGGAUUAUUUUUUGUUGAAUUUUCAAAAUAAUAUACGUACAGGAGAGGUUUAGAUGUCAAUGCCCAUUGGCAUAUAUAGUUCACAACUCAUCAAACACUUUUAAGGUGAUGUUCAUGGAAAUCAUGUGUAUACUCUAAGAAACACCUAAUCUCCUUCAGACAAUGGCACCAACAAUCACAGGUUAGAGAGCAGAGAGAGAAUGCCAAGUAUGAGUCUGGGCCCCACCUUUCCCCUCCAUACUCCUAUCUUAAUAGGUGACUAGCCGUGAUGAUAAUAAUAAUAAUAAUAUAUACUGGCCUUCAUCCGAAGAUCACAGGGAGGUUGACAGCCUCACACAUCUGUCAAGUGUGAGGAGAGAAGAGCUGGGCUGUAGCAGCCCCCCUCACUAUAGCAUUUUUCUCCCUCACAGGUGAUCAGUGUGAGUGUUGCUUCAGGUCUACCUUCUCCCCGUCACCCUGUCAGAUUAGCCCUGUUCAUUGCCUGGAUCAGAAUGGCUAUCCAUUUAAAUGGAGCUAUGCAAAGGUAAAUAUGACAGCAUUGGGGUUGCCAAAGGAUUUGGUGUACUAUAAAUGAAACAACAGCAUGGCACCCUGGCAUUUCUCCUCUGGAAGAAGAGGAAAAUGCAAAUGACAUAAUUAAGGAAGGAUGCCAUGCCCUGCAGCAGGCUUCAGAUGUAGAGGAGUUCUUUUGUUUGGGAAACAAAUACAUCAAGAGAAACAUUGGAUUUAAUGUAAAUGUCCGGAUUAUAGCAAUGACAUGAAGGGGGGAAAUGACCCUAAUGAGUAAAUCCUAAUGAGUUUUAAUCAGGCCAUAAGAUUUGAGAAUCUCACUAGUCACAGGAAUUCUGCUUCAUAAAGCAAACUGCAUGCCUUCAUGACACUGGCUCUGUAUAGAAGGCAGAUCAUUUCAUGGCUGAAAGUCCUCAGAGAAUGACAGGAAAAUUCUUCUGUAAUGGCGAGCUGUUCUUGAGCAAUUUUUCCAACACAUUAUGCAUUUCAUAUUACAUACUGUCAUCGGCCCUCUCUCUCUUUCUCUCUCUUUAAACCAAUGUUUCUAUAGUGAAGUACCGAAAGAGUCUGGCUUUCUAUUGUCUAUUUGAGCGUCUCUCUCCUUCAAAUUAUUUCCUAGACUACCAAAAAUAUUGACGUCAUGUACUUGCUUAUUCUACAAUUCAAAUAUUUGGUGGCACACAUUUUUAAUAAUCCAACGUUGCAAAGUUUCUACGGGGGGUUCAGUUAUCUUUUGCACUAGUGGUUCCAUAUUGUUGCUUUCAUUGACAAGUCAAGAGUAUUUCAGUGCAAUUAGAUGAAAGCAGGCUCUAUCAUGGUAGAAUGCCACGGAGCAAUGUAUUGGGCAUAAGGAAGAAUGCUAGUUGAUCAUGCAUCAACACAUACAUAAUUUUGCUUGAAAUUUGGCUGAUUAUGACAGCUGGUUCAGAAUCCUGAAAAUCCCCAAGAAGGGUAGAAAACAACUCCCAAGCCCUUCAGAAAUGAUCUUUAAAAUGCUUACUGCUUUCCUGUUAUAUCCCCUACAAGGAGAACUUUGUUUGCUCUGCAUUUUAAAGCAAAGUGACCUAAUUCGCACCUCUCAGGGUAGCACAUGAACAAACCUAUAAUUAUACUUUCAAUUUAGUACUUUUUCCAGUUUUGCUAUAUGGCCUUUGGCUCAAAAAAUAAUAAUAAAAAAAUUAUACCAAAAUGCAUAAAAUGUGCUUUAGGAUAAAAUAUGUGUAGAACUGCAUAUCUUGAGCUAGAAUAAAAUGUAUUUAAAUAAAUAUUUCAACACAAAACAUUUAAUUAGUAUUUUAUAUAUUUAAAUACAAAUAUCUGUAUAAAUUUGGUCUUAAGGGUUUUAUUGGAUUAUGACAGUGGCUGACUAUUGUGAGUCUAGGUGAACCUUGGGCUUACAUGCUCGCUGACAUGGCCAUGAGAAGGAGAUUGGAAGCUUUAGGAUGACACAGCCCAAACUGUGGUUUGUUGAAAAAAAGUCAGCUUCAUAAACCAUGGUUUGAUGUUGGCUUGUUUCAAAAGACAUGGUUACAGUUAACCACAGUUUAUUGGGCUCGGAUGAUGUGACAAGCUGCACUUAAUAAUAAAAAAGAAGUAGCAAAAGCUUAUGAGUGGAAGAAAGGUUCUGCUGGUCUCUAGUCCAGCAUCCCGUUCUCACAUUUGCCAGCCAGAUCCCUAUGGGAAGCCUGCAAGCAGGACAUAAGCACAACAGUUCUCUCUAACAGCUUCUGAACUCCUUGCAGUCUUACUGAUGUGGGUUAGGGGAAAGGAGAGCAAGCAAAUGCAAGUCUCUCCUAUUCUCUUUCCCAACAUGGAUAAUUCUCAUGCCUAAUAUGAUAAAUUUGGACAAAUUUAUCAUGACAUCCAAAUGCAGCCAUUGUGUCCUUUGUCGCUUUACUAGAAAUAUCAACAGCUCUGUUGUCUUCUGCAUAUAGCCAAUAUCUCCUACAUGUCAGUGAGCAGUACUGGAGCAAAAUGGCAACAAACCUGCACUGAGUUUCAGAUGUUCCUCCUGUGUUUCCUUGUUCUCAACUACAAGCUUCAAAAUUUAUAUUGACUUCUUUGCCCUACAGCUUCAGCUUUCUUCCCAGCCAGUGUUUGUAAACUCUGUAAAUGCAAUCAGCUACUCUCAAAGCAGAGGACAUAAAGAGAAUGGGAUAAUAUCUCAGCUAGAAGGCUCCAUAUGUUGAUGGCAAGGUAUACUAUAUGAAGGAAGAAAUGGGAUUUGAAUUGUUCUGAGUACCUGGGAGCCACAAACAGUGACAGGAAGAAAUAACAUUUUGUAAGUGUAGAACACUGUGACAAAAGUGAAAAAGCAUUUCUUUGGGCACACACAGAUGAGAAACUGAAUUUUGAGAAAGCUGCCAUGUUUCACAAAUAGUCUGACAGCUGAGCAUAAUAAUAGGAUCACUAUUUGUGGCGUUCACCCAGAGGUAAAUUAGGGCUAAUGUACUUUCAUCAACAAAGAAGCUGCUGGGAGAGAAAGAUCCACAGGAAUAGUUGUUUGAAAGAUGAUGUAGAUGGUAAAAUUUCAUGGACUCUCCAUGCAAGCAGUGAAUAUGCUUGGCUGUUGCUGGAAAUGGCAUUCAGAGCAUUCAGACCAAUCCAUGUGGUAAAAAUGCAAACCUGAGAUUCCCUACUCAUACAACAGCAUUGUAAUGUAAGAAAUGCAUAUCAAGCAGAUGUACUUUUAAAGGAGUUCUUGGACAUUCCCUAAAAAGUGCUACUUUUUAAUCAUUAAUACACAUCUAGCAGUUGAUAGAGUAACUUGAAAGCUAGGUACUCACAUAUACAUGGGCUGUAGCUGUAAAUGAGAUGUCUUCUGUGGGCCUUGAUAGCCGUAAGAGUCAAAUCCACCUAUGAAGUCAACUGAAAAGGAGGAGAUUGCAUUCAUUGCUGACAUUCUCAGAAGUGAUAGGCAUUUUCCUUUUAAAAAUGCUUUCAUGCAUAUUACAUUGGCUAACCUCCCCCGCCCUUAAUAGUUUAUUAAAAUGGAAGUGAUUGAUUCUGGAGAAUGCAAACAAAGUACAGAAUCUACAGGGUAAUGACUAUAUAGAGAGCAAGUUUUCAUCAGCGUGCCAGUCACAGAUUAUAACAAUUUAUCUAUAUACCAUUGCUCUUCUUGUUUAUGAGCAGCCCACCUGACUGGAAUGUAUAAAUUACACAUUUGUUGGAGGCUGUAAACCAAUAAUUUGCAGCCUCCAUGUUUUAACUGGUUGUGAUUAUUGUGUCACAUCAGGCUGCCACACUGGUUCUGUGAGCAACAGAUGAAAGGAAAUGGAUCUAUGCUCUUUGAAAAAUUAUCCCAGGCUUUACAAGGAACCUGUGAAUUCCAGUAAGUGCUAAAGACAGCCUAGAUGGACAUGGUUAGACCUUAUAUUUUCCAAGGGAGCAACUGCAUUGUUUCUUUGUUCCAGUAGACUGCUUUGGAACCAGUGAAUUUAUAUGCCAUCUUCCUGAUUACUUCUGUCAGGUACUCAAGGAAGCCAUCACUACUAACUACUUGUUAGUUUUAAUGUUCUGUGGCAAUGAAUUUCAUAGCAUAAAGUGAUUCUUUUUUUACUUCUAAUCAGUUGCUCUGGAUGGCCUGAGUACUAGAAUUCUGGGAGAUUCUUCAGCAGAAUGGUUAGGUUACUGAAUUUGUGAAUUACUCGCCACAACAAGAUCCCCAAAAGAUUUACAAGAUGAAUAAAAUACAGCAACAUAGCAAUAAUAUAAAAGCAUAAACAUAUGAAAAACAUAGUGAGAAUAAAAGCAUCCCAUCAAGGGCCCAGGAAAACAAGCAAACAAAAAAAUGUCUGGCACUGAAACAAUGACCAAGUUGGGACCCGGUGGGCCUCCCUUGGAAAAGCAUUUCAUAAUUAGGGAGUUACCACUGAAAAUAUACAUUCUCUCAUCGCCACCCUCCAGACCCCCCUUGAAAGCAGCAUGCAGAGAAGGGCAUCCAAAGUCAAUCUCUGGGUCCAGGCAGGUUCAUAUGGGGAAAGGGGUGUGCAGUGCUUUGCGGGGGGGGGGGGGGGGGGCAUAAAAAAUGGCAUGAUGGUUCUUGUAUAUUGACAAACAUUCCAUGGGUGCCCACAUAAAAUAGAUGCUAUGGGCAGCAAGAAAAGUGGUGUUGGUACUCUGUAUAGGUGAGUACCAUCACAAAAGAAGCCUGGAGGUGGGCAUCUGUUUUAGGAUGUUGUAAGUCUGUAAAGACUUGAGCACAGAAGAGAGGUUCCAGAAGGAUGGUUUGCAAUGUAUGCAAACUAGCAGUACAAUGCAAUCUUGUCCCCCUUAUUCAUGACACACUCCUAUUUAGCUUUGCUGAAUCUGUGGUGGUGACCAGAUUGAUCUAAAAGUUGCUCGUGGCUUUAUUAUAGUCUCCAAACCCCAUGCCAAUUGAUGUCCUUUCUACUGGGCAUUUUAUUUUGGCAGAACCUAAAAGGUCACUAAAAGUGUUGUGCAGCUUCUAAUGUCUGAUAGUAUUGGCAUGGGAUUGAAUAAAUAAACCUUAUUGACUGAAUGACCAUAGAUGUUCUAAUCCUAAACUGAUUCAUCAAACACACUGAAAAGUUGCUUUUGAUCUUUUAAGAACAUCACCACCAGUUAGGGUUCUUAACUAUGUUUCUUCAGGAGCAAAUCUGAAAGUGCAGAGGCAUAAUCCCAUUGAUGUGAAACAUCAAAAGCUUACAGUUACUUCUUUCAUGGAGGCAUGAUUUUAAAAUUUCUUACAGACCCGUCAUAUGCAUGAUUAUCUGGAAGUCACACUGGUAGUUUCCAAUGUGAUUUACUCCUCUAUUUACAAGAUUGCACAAUUAGUUUAUCAGAAAACAUGUAAAUUAUUCAGGCAUGCUAAUGCCUAAAUAAGUUGCCUCUGUGUAUAUCUGUAUUUAUUCCUCCUCUGGAGAUGGCAGCAGUGGUCAAAGUGCCUAUUCUGACAUCACAUUAGUAUCUUUUGCAGACGGCAGAUAAAGCAGAAUGGUCUGGCAAGUGUCCACUGCAACCUUCUAUUUGGGGGAUAAAUAAUUCACAUCUGUUCCUUCAAGUCCAGUAGAAAGGGAUAAAAUAUUAUUAGAUUGCAAUGGUAAUUUAUUUGUUGUAAUAAAUAUUAAUGCAUCCACAGUGUCUUUAGAGAAAUCAUAAUCCUGCCCCCUCAAAAGACUAGGAAAACAGAUUCAUUUCUUUACAAGCCUGCAUAUUUGCCACCCAGUCCCGAGACAGAUGGUGACAAUGGUGAAAACAUAAGUGAAACUGAGUUUAUCGUUGAGGAGGCUUGUUUUUGAGAUGUAUCCACACAUGCUAUAAAUGACUGUGUCACAGGUCUUAUUUUGGAUAUUUGCCAAAUGGGCCUUAGUUAAUGUACUUUACCACUAAAGAAAGACAAAAUGAAUCUUUUUGGUGUUUAUCUGUACUUUGCAAUGGGCAACAUGUUGUUAUGUUGGGAAUCAGGAUUUCUUUCAUAUCCUGAUGGAGACAAGGGUAGAUUUGCACAACCAUCAUGUAGCACUUGCGACUUAUCUUGUGACAAAUACUGCCUGGGUCUGAUGAAAAGGCCUCGUUAGCUGAGCCUUGAUGUAAGUCUCAGACAAUCAACCAUUAUCUCAUGGUUGAGACUGUUGCAUUAAAAACAUUGUUGCAAAAAUCUACCAUGCUAUUUUCUUGGCCCUAAAUUCAAUGCUAAAAUAGGGCUCUAGAUCAUAAUCCUUCAACUGGUGCUUUUAAAGCUGGGAUCACCAAUGUGGUGCCUGAAAGCACAAUACAUCACCUGUGAAAGUUAGUGCUGCCUCCACUCACUGUGCCCUUAUUUCCCGUCCCCCAAAGUACGUAGUGCUAAGGGAGGGAGACUGGAAGUGAAAAGCUACUUCCCACUUCCUCUUUCAGCUCUGAUUGGAAUGACCAAGGUUGUAGGAGGAAGAGGUAACUGAUCUGAGAGACUGGGGAGGCAGACAGUGGCAGGGGGAUAAAGUGAGAUGCUGCAGGAGUCAGGGAAGAGAGAAUGGCAGGGAAAAGUGAUCAGUCAUGGUCUCUCUCUCUCUCUCCCACACACACAUUUACAUCAGAUUCAUCAAAACAGAUUCCCUCCUCUUGGGGUCUCCACCAUGCAAACCACUUAUCUUGUUGGCUGAACCAUAAAAAUAAUGCAUCUGGUGCUUUCCAAAACUGCCAUGGUAAAAAAACAUGGAUCCAAAGCAAAAGAAUCCAUGCAGAUCACCAUAAUUUUUAAGACUGAUCCCCUCAGAACCAUCUUUAAAUCUCUGUCCAUUCAUGUGUCCUGUCAUUUAGUGGCGGUUUUGUUGUCAUCCUGUUUAAGAGCCCUGGAUAAUUCGGGAGGAUCUGUGCCUUGGAUAGAUGCAUUUGUGCCAUAGCAACCCUGGAAAGCACUGCGAUUUUUACUGUGCAGUCUACUAAUUUAAGCAUUUAUGUGAUGGUGUUAGGGUGGGGAGGUUGACUCAAUGUAAAAUCAUGCAAAAGGAAGAGGAUCUAUUUUAAUUCCACCGGAUCAGUCUUUUUACUCAAACCCUUUUGAAAAGCAAAUGAUGUAGGGUGUGUGUGUGUGUGUGUGUGUGUGUGUGCUUUCCCUCUUUAUGUCUGCCUGGGGGAGAGUGACCCAGGAAUGGAAGAGAGAGACAUAACCAGAGGAGAUGGUGUACAUGGAACCAGUGGCAUGUGGUCAGUGGACUAGGGGGACUAGGCUAGUCCCCUAAAUGUCCUGGUAAAUUAGAGUAUUAAAUUAUUAAAGCUGGCCCGGGAAGCUUCCGCCUGGCCUAGAAAGGGAGGCACGAUGCACACACACACACACACACACACACACACACAACAUCACCCUUCCCAAUCGCCCUCAUAAGCUGAUACCUUUGGCCCUAACUGUUCCCCUACAAAAAACUUUACUGCAUGCCACUGCAUGGCACACUCCCAAUUGCUCCCACAUGUCCCAAAAGGUUGGCAACUCCAAUACAAAUGUCUUGAAGUCACCUAAUGCAAUUGCCAAUGCUCACUUUCAAAACCACUGCAUAUACUGAGCAAACCCCCAACAAAUGGUUUGCAUUCAUGGGAACACACACACACUCUGAGGUUUGCUAAGCUGUUCCCUCCCCCUGGUAGUACCUUUCUUGGAGCAAACCAAAACUACCUUCUAAUCUUUGCAAUUUUUUAGAAAUAGCAUGCAGUGGCAGCAACUGCUCAGCAAAUCCUCCACUAAAGACAUGGAUCAGACCUAUGCAACUUCACUAAGACAUACCCUAAAUUGGGUUUUGCUAUCUGUAGGAAUGUUUGCAAAAGUGUUUUUCACAAGGAAUAGCAACUCCCCGGAAAAGAAGGGCUUUCAUUAGCACAGGUUAUAGAUGUGGGGUUUUUACAGGCCUCACAAAGGGCAGCAGUGAGUCAGCUGGAAAAAAGCAGAUGGGCAGACAGAAGGAAAGCAAUAUGGUGUAAAACAACACAAUCAUCCAUCUCAUUUUCAACCAAGUAGUCAGCAUAGUAGCAAAUGUUAACAGAACUGAAAGAAAUCAGAUGACUUGAAUCAUACAUCACCCAUUCAGUGUGGAGGCUGCUAAUCACUGCUUCCUCAUGACAGCACUAUGUCUAGUGGAAUACGACAUUUAUGUGUUGAGUUUAGUGUGGGAGUCCCACCAACACAGACAUAUAGCAUUUCUGUGCUUGGCUUAUUGCUGCUGUAAGUCCAAGUUCAAAUAAGUCCCAACUGUGCAGAGGCCACCAGGCGGAAACCAUAUUUAUGAACCUCUGCAUGGGGGAAAGUAACGUAUGACUUGGCUUUAAAUAUCCAUCUCUACAAAAUAAUUUGGUUGUGGUGGCAAUCCCAUAUCCAGUAACCUGGGAGGAAACCUACUUGAAUGCAAUGGGACUUACUUCUGACUAGACAUGAUUAAAAUGUUGCAGUGAUGAGGGCAAGGUUGUAUGAUCAAGAUUAUCAUGGGAAUAGCCAUAUAAAUGAUUUUCUAGUAAAACUUUGAUAUGUUUAACAGACUGUGACUGAGGGCAGUUUCAUUUAAUUUUCCUUCAGAAACUCUGGAUCAAUAAAAUGUAAAUAAAAUAACAUCCGUAUCAUAAAGGCCCUCCCCUUCUCUGAGAUUUCCCUGAGCUUUGGACUGUUUCCAAACUGGUGAUAUAUUCAACACUUACAGCCCUGCAGAAUACAGUGAGGAUUCUCCUGCCCGUUUCUCCCCUUCCAGAUAUCAAAUGUGAACACACACAGCUAUUAAAAAGCUCAGAUCAGAGAAGAGGGACAAUGGAAGACUUGUUUCACAGAUGUAGAUUCAAUUCUUGAGUCUUCCUUCCCUAGUCAUAUAGUGGCCCAGAAGUCACACUUCAGACAUAGUGGCACCAUGGGCUGUUGUGGUCUACACUAUGAGAGGGAAGGGAAGCAAGCAAAAAUAGCCAAACCAACCCAUCGUCCUCACCGCUGCCACAAAUUUGAUGUAUUCUCCCUCCUCUUUACAUCCACUAAGCAGACUCUGUCUAUCAAUACCCGGUGGAGUAAUAUAGCACAGGCACACAGGUGUGAAGCCUUCAGGGAACCCUCCCUAAAAUAAGCUAUGCUUUUACUUAGUGUCUUAGUGAGGCAACACUUAGAGGCAGUUUCAGAAAACAUGCUUUUAGAAUAUAUAUAUAAAUAAACAGAGAAACGCAUACAAAACUGUUCUACACUGUUUCUUAUGGGUUCAGCUUUUGGGUCCCUUUGUGGUCUUUUCCUGGCUCCUUUCUGCUGUAAUGUCCCAGUUGGGUUCUCUGAUCCUUCAUCUUAAUGUUUUGGUCCUUUCUCUCUCCUGCAACUCUUCCAUUUUUUAACUUACUAGCUUUAUAGUAUUUUUGCUCUUAACCUUUUAGCCAACAGGAGGAGAGUCAAAUCUUGAUUAUGUUUCUAUUUCUCCUUAAUUGCCAGGUUCAUAGGCUGAAACUCUGACUCUCCUGUGCACAUUAGUCUCUUGUGAACUUUCAUUUUUUGUUUCUAUUAAAACUACACAACGAUACUUCUAAUUAGAAUUUUGUAAAAAAGAAAGAAAGAAAGGGAAGUCUUAGAUGUUAAGAUUGAACAUUUGCCAAAUCAGAGUCAUGAAAUGUCUGCAAAAUUAGUGUACAAAUUUUAACUGAAAAGGAGUUAAUUAAAACAACCAAAAAACAAGACUCUAUCAGUAUAUAGUAACCUUUUGACAACAGAUGAAAUACUGUAGUAAUUUAACCAUCUUCACUGAACCUGAUUUCAGAACAGUUUUUCCUUUCUCCUAUGAACUUUUGACUGUCCUAUGUAGAAGAAUGUCUAAAGCAAAAGCAACCAUUUUACAAUCUAAAACCAAACUAAACCUUUAUUCACAUACACAUCUUUGGAAUAGUUGCCCCCCCCAGCACACUUACUUGGAGUAAAUCCCAUUGAACCCAUUGAAUCCAAAUAAACAUGCACAGGAAUGGGCUGCACAUCAUGUAAACUUUCCUUUCUUGCACACUUAUUCUUACUUUUGACUUAAUAAAUAUGUUGAUGUUGUUGUUGAAGUUUCACUUGACAUCAAGAGAGAGAGAAAAUCCCACAAAUAUUUAAAAUAAGCUGGGCUCUACUGGGUCUCAAAAGAUGAGGGAAACAAAUCUUUCCAGUAGCAUACAUUGGCCUGUAACUCAAAAGUUACAGUAAUUUCCUGACCAAAGAAAUGUUACAUGGGGGAAAAAAUAUUUACAGCAACUAAUAAGCGACUGCACAUUUUGGUUUGGAAAGUCUGUUGGUUGCUUUUUGCCUUAGAGCUCAUCAACAUAGUACCUAUUUUGGGGAUUACCAUCAGCAUGCCCAAAAACCCACAGCAAACAAUGCCUUUUGGGUCUCUAUUUUUCUUUGCUACAGGUACGUUCAGUGCUGCAAAAGUCUACACAAAUUUUCCCCAACACACAAAUGCAUGCAGAAUCUACUGGUCUAUGAACAUGGAACUUUUUAUAAAUGCGAAGUAUUGUUAACAGCCUAUAAUAAAGACCUCCGUGAGGAAAUAUGAUACAUGCAAAUAUAUAUAUAUAUAUAUAUAUAUAUAUAUAUAUAUAUAUAUAUAUUCUUUUCCCUUCCUGAAUGAAGUUUCAGUUGAGCUAGGAUAUUUCUAGGACAAUUUCCACUAUAAUGCACCAUUUUACACAUGGGGCAUUCUAAAACUGCCCCUGAAGGACUUUCAAACUGCCAAGAUGCUUCAAAUAGCCUGGAAAAAUCUGCAGGUUGUUCCCAAUCAGUGUCAUCUAGAGGAAAUGCAAGCAUGGUAGGAUCAUUGUGUCCCUAAUGGAACAAAUUGUUAGCAGGAGAUUGCUGUCUCUGUCAGUUUUAUUGCACAUAGCCAAAGGCUGCCGCAAUGUACACAGAAUUAUUUGACAAUUAGAAGAAAAUAUACUGAAUUGGUAAAAAAAGACUUAAUACAUUUAUAUUAUUAAAACAUUACGUAUUCUAAACAAAGCUAUAAAAGUACCCCAAUGUACCAAUAAAAACAUUAAACAAUAAAAUUCAUAAGCUAAAAUAUCACAUGGUCACUAAUGUUAAAAACAAUAUCAAUUAAUACAAUGUGCAAUUUAUACUCAGAGUUUGGUGACAAAGAUAGAGCAUAGCCUGAGGUAGAUAGAUGGGAUCAAAUAAAUUCAUCUCCUUUGCAAUUAAUGGCUACCUUGGCUAUAUAAUUUGCUCUAAUUUUCCUAGUAGCAGUUGCAAAAAGUGCUAUCCGCCAGGUCACAUACUUAUCUGUGUCUGCAAGGAGAUAUAACAUCAUGUCAAGGGGGUUCUGGCCAGGGGACCCUGUCAUUAUAGGUACCAAAAAUCUUUUUCUUGCAUCAUUAUAUAAUGGACAGUGCAAGAUAUAAUGCAUAAGGAGAUUGCUGUAGGCUAGCUUAUUACUGGACAAGUAAAGAGAUAAAGAUCACCUCAUCUGUCUCCUGAGAAAUCUCUAUGUGGGACAAGAAGCUACAGUUAGAACUGGAUAUGGAACAACUGAUUGCUUCAGAAUUGGGAAAGGAGUACGACAAGGCUGUAUUUUGUCUCCCUGUUUAUUUAACUUAUAUGCAGAAUUCAUCAUGCGAAAGGCUGGGCUGGAUGAAUCCCUAGCCGGAAUUAAGAUUGCCGGAAGAAAUAUUAACAACCUCAGAUAUGCAGAUGACACAACCUUGAUGGCAGAAAGUGAGGAGGAAUUAAAGAACCUUUUAAUGAGGGUGAAAGAAGAGAGCACAAAAUAUGGUCUGAAGCUCAACAUCAAAAAAACGAAGAUCAUGGCCACUGGUCCCAUCACCUCCUGGCAAAUAGAAGGGGAAGAAAUGGAGGCAGUGAGAGAUUUUACUUUCUUGGGCUCCAUGAUCACUGCAGAUGGUGACAGCAGCCACGAAAUUAAAAGACGCCUGCUUCUUGGGAGAAGGGCAAUGACAGGCCUAGACAGCAUCUUGAGAAGUAGAGACGUAACCUUGCCAACAAAGGUCCGUAUAGUUAAAGCUAUGGUUUUCCCAGUAGUGAUGUAUGGAAGUGAGAGCUGGACCAUAAAGAAGGCUGAUCGCCGAAGAAUUGAUGCUUUUGAAUUAUGGUGCUGGAGGAGACUCUUGAGAGUCCCAUGGACUGCAAGAAGAUCAAACGCAUCCAUUCUUAAGGAAAUUAGCCCUGGGUGCUCACUGGAAGGACAGAUCCUGAAGCUGAGGCUCCAGUACUUUGGCCACCUCGUGAGAAGAGAAGACUCCCUGGAGAAGACCCUGAUGUUGGGAAAGAUGGAGGGCACAAGGAGAAGGGGGCGACAGAGGACGAGAUGGUUGGAUAGUGUUUUCGAGGUUACCAGCAUGAGUUUGACCAAACUGCGGGAGGCAGUGGAGGACAGAGGUGCCUGGCGUGCUCUGGUCCAUGGGGUCACGAAGAGUCGGACACGACUAAACGACUAAACAACACAACAAAAGAGAUAAAGAAGGGGGUCGGAGGAAAGAGAGCUACAGCUGCUAUAAAUGGAGGAAAACUCCAGCAGGAGAAGAAUUCUGAGGACCAAAAGUGAGACAGAAUCUAAAGCAAUUUCCUUCUUGACCUGGCUGUAGACGAGUUGUUGUGUGCCACAGAGAACCCUGGGCUUUGUCCUAGGGUACACACUCAAUUCCUGCAGGGCACUGGUAAGCUCUGUUGAACUUCAGUGUUGCCCAUCUAAACUACAAGUGCUCUAGAAGACACCAAACAUCCCCCUAACUUCUCAGAUUACAGGGCAAGAUAAGUUGUGAACAGUGCCAGCUGUCCUUCAGGGAGGCUGGUCUACACGAUUACUGAUUUCACCUAGGAACCCUAGAUACACUUUCAAGAAGCCCCAGAGUCUCAUGAAAAAAGCAAACAAAAAUAAAGCAGCCCAUCAAAUAAAAGCAAAAUUAAAAUAAAAUGUAUGAAAAAGUUGGAGAUAUUAUGGUCAAAGGGAUACUUAUUUUCAUAAUUACAAUUCCUGCAAUAAAAUUAAGCAAUCGAUCAAUGUUUUAGCACAAAUCAAAUCGCUGUAGAAAUACUGGAAUAGAGUUUUGUAAUUGAUUGGAGAACCGCAUUACACAAUUCAGAUAAGUGUGCAUUUCAAAGGAUAACAUAGAGAGAGAGAGAGAGAGAGAGUGUAAAAGAGAGGCUGGUCACUUUGAGGCAUAGACCAGUUAUGUAAUACCUCUGUGCAAUAUUUUGGUAAUGACCCCAAGUACGAAUCUUUGUGCUGGAGGGCAAAUGGAUGGGCUCCUUCCCUCACCUGGCUGGUAGUGAGAAGGACAAUAGCCAGUAUUGUGUUUGUGAGAGCUGAUAAGAAGCAGGCUGCAGGCAGAGGCCUGAGAGGGAGAGUAAUGCUGGAUUUCUGCUGUGAUGAUGGGAGAAGCAAGACCUUCUGCGGUGUUAAUGCUGUGAGACCCUCCAUUGUAGCCUCAGGUUAUAUAUAUGUGUAAAUAAAGACAUCACAGUCUUCACUGCCCCUCAUUACAAGGACACUGAACCUGGUGUAAGCACCUGGAACCCCUGGAAUUGCACACCACUUGGAGAUUGGGGUGGCAGACAACAAUAUAUACAUGCAAACAUGUAGUCUAUGCAAGCAUUUUAUCCUGUUCUGUCUACCAAAGAAUCAGCUUAUAUAAAGUCAACAGAACAACAUCAAAGACAAUAAAAAUACACAUACAGGUCAAACAUUUAAAAAUUCCCCGCAAACAGAAGACAUAAAAUCCCUUCAAAAACACGCUGAACAAGCAUGUCUCCUAGUGCCUGUGAAGUACUAGAAGGGUCAAACUAAGGCAAAUAUCAGAGGUGAGUUGAUUCCACAGGGUAAGAAGCACUAGAGAAAAGGCCCUGCAAGGGUCCCCCCCCCAACCAAACCUCCUGAACAAAGGAGACUCUAAGAAAACAUUCAAAUUUUUAAAGGAAUACAUACUCUGGUUUGCUCCAGGGAGCCAGUAGGCCAUUCUUCCUCCCAUCAUCGGGUAUUCAGCUGUAAAUUUUAGCAGGCCAAAACUCAGAUGAGAGUUUGAGAGAAAUAGAAUUUUGCUAGGCAGUGCAUUUUUAAAGAAAUAUUUAUUAAAGACCUGGAUGCUACUUUAGCUGCAUUAGCCCAUUAAGUUUUCAAAAGUUAUUUUUGGGGGUGGAUGAAGGGUAUGAGAAAUAAAGCAUUAUGUAGUGGGAGAUGCAUAACUUUUUGUGGCCAUGGGGAUGUGGGCUUAUAUCACCCAGAAGACUGGAAUCCUAGAUUUGCUGCCUAGGGCUGCUGCAAUGUAAUGCUACCCAAAGGUUAGCCACGGUUUAGCAGUCAGGAGCAGGUUAUGGUACUGCACCCCCCAGCUCUCUUCUUUUAGACUGUAUGAAUUCUUUUUGCCUGCCUAAACCCUGGUUUGGCAUUACAUCUGACCUUUGCUGGCCAUGGCUAAGGAUUCUUUGAAACCCUGGUUUGGAAUCCCCAAUACACUCCCAGCCUUUAAAUCCUGGUUUGCAUUUGGUUAUUGUUAUGACAGUACCAGCUAGGAACAAUAUGAGGAAUAACAGCAGAAAUGACUGAGACAAAUUAAUCAGGUUAAAGAAAUCUCCCAGUUACUACAAUCCUAAAACAAUUAUUAUGUUAUUAGCUGAAUCUACAAUUUUUAAUUUUAAAGAGUUAGCUUGUAACAUUUCUUUCUUUCUAAAAAGUGGUUUUUUUAUAACUGCUUGUGACAUUUGCCAACCAUUCAAGGCUGCAGUUUAUUUCUACUGAAGAUUGCCCUGCCAUUAAAAAAUAGUCAUUUUAAAAAUUAUUUCAUGUAAUAAGACUAUAUGACAGAUGAAGAAGAAAAACAUAAAACAUAAUAAAAUUCAUGGUGAUCACAAUCCCUCUUCGCUUAUAGUGAUCAGGAAUUGAUUUUAUUAAACAGUACUCGGUUAUGAUGAUGAGAAACCAAUGCAAACGUUUCUUCCAUCAAAGCACCACUAUUAUUUAGACAUAUUUGAAACACAGGCUUGGCAGCUCCCUUAGGAGAUGGUGAUGGAUGUUCGGGGAGGGAUGGACCAGGUAAUAAGGGAAAAGGAAAAUUAACAUAUAGGAAGGUAGUGACAGCACCACUUUCAGUGUGUGAAUCUAUUUAUUAAUAUUUUUUCAUAGCACAUCUAUGUCUCUCAGGGAUUUCCUUAACAUCAACUUCAUUAGUUAGGAAGGCAGCAAUCCAUAACCAAUUUUCUUUUCAUGUUGUGCUUGUUCACGUAUUAAACCAGCCCCUUUGUUAAAAACAUUUGCAAUUAAUCCCUCAAACAAAAGAAAUGCAAAUCUUACAGUCUCCCUAACCAAAACCCACCAACUCAAGGCCCUGAUCGCCACCUAUUAUACACUAAAAUGAAUUGAAAUUCCCACUUUGAGCCUAACCUAAUUUUCUACUGAUAAUAGGCAUGGAUUCCCAGAAGCACUCCAUGCAUCUUAAUAGUAACAUCCUAAUUUCCUUUCUUGGUAAAUGUUUUAAAUAAGAUUUUAGCACCAAAGGAAAUUAACCUUUAAAUUAAUUGUAAUUAUAAAAUGCCACCGCUGAUUUUGUCUUCAGCCUAAUUGCUUGCUAUUAUUUAAACCAGCUGCACCUCAGCUGAGCUUUAAGUUUAGGUUUCUCACAGUUGUCAACAAAUCAAGGUGUCUGCUUAUGUCUGUGACCAGGCUGGUCUAUUUGUGGCUCUGCAAACAUUAGGAUGGACAGAGCAAUCUUAAUUCACAGGCUAGGUGGGUGCCUCUGCUGGCAGAAAGGUCUGCAGGUGUAACACCCAUGCUUGCUAAGGAAGUCUCUGUUGUGCCCAUGGAAAGCUCCACAGGCAAAUAUCUACCACUGACAGCAGUUGGCAUUCAGCACUCCUGAAACAGAGCACUCUGAGCUGAGGCAGGGGGAUGAGGUAGAGGUAGCCCUGGAUCCACUAGAUCUCUGCUUCUCUCACAAGCAUCUACUGUGUACUCAGGUUCAGGGACCAUAGGGUCCAACUGCUUCCUGCUUCUCCUUGCUUUUCUGGCACUUCCAGACAGUCACCAUUUUCAGGUGGCAUGCAAACACAUGCCAGUAAAUUCAGGCUGCACAACUUGAGCUGAUUGGGAGGUCUUGUGCAAUGAACCCGCUUACUCAAAUGAUGGCUUUUUGCAAUAAGGAAAGUGAUAUAAUAUACUGGGCAGUGUGGCAUAAAACUUGCUUUCACGCAAUGUCAUCUAAUCCACCCUGCAAAGAUUUAUGAGCAUUCGUGAACACCAAAAGCCAUCUAAUCUACCUGCAAGCAAAUCAGAAUGAAUGCUCGAUAAAUAGCUUGUCUGGAAGCGCCUCACUCCCACCCCCAUUCCAUGCAGAUAAGACCUACCCCAUAACUAGCAGCAGUGACUGGGAUGCUCCUGGAUGUUCCUCCAUAGGUUGUUAACCUACUUGUUUUAGUCAGGUUCCUGUAUUCUUGUAGAUGCCAUAGGGGACAUGAAACGUGCUACCCUUGCUGUUUGUUGAGGCACUGUCCAAGACACAGGGGACCUGUGGGAGUGCUAACUCCACAUAUAUGCUUUCCCCUUUCUGGAUCCUCCAUCUGAGCGCAGUGAAGUUGCUACUCUCUCUCCUGCCCCCGCCCCCUGUUACUAGGCACCCCUAUGCCAGACUGGCAUGGACUGUAUGGCUGGAUCUAGAGCUUGAUGGGCUAGGGGCAAUGACUCUCUUCCGUCUUUGCUCAGUCAGACACAUGGACAGUGAGGGAGCAGGCAUAUCAGGGAGCACAAGUGGAAUGAAGGCUGCUGCGAGGGUACUAUGAGUUGAGGAUGUGGGAGAAAAUGGAGAUGGAUAAUGUUACCUGCUGGGAUCAUACCUAGUAGUGUCAGCCUAUUAGGCAAGAUAUCAGGGCAGGGUUCCAUUGGUCACAUGGGCUACCAGGAACGGACCAAAAGGGGUGGGCAUUGGUCCGUGUGGUGUUCCAAUUGGCUCAGGUGUGUCUGGGGUUUGGUGUUAUACCUUGGCUUUGAACCAUGUAUCCCCUGCAUGGAAACCAUGACCUAUUCUAUCCAACCAGGACUCAUCUUGCAGCUUCUGCACUCCUGGGGUUGAGGCUGAGGGCAGCAGAAAGAUAGGAUACUCUAGGAGGUGUCUGAUGCCUGCUGCUGUGGCUGAGUUGUUAGGGAGCUGUUCUGUGGAGCCUGCAGUGUAAGUUUGAGGCACCAUGACUUUUUUUAAAGCCAGGCAUGCAAGAGAAGAAUUGAGCCAUAUUUUCCCUUUUCCCUUGCUGGGGCUUGAACUCUCCUGCUUCCCAACCCUGGGACGUAUAGAGUGAGCUACUGAAGGCUGUGUGUGUUGUGCUCAUAAAAAAGAUAAAUGAGAGGAACAUAAGUGGAUUUGAGCCGUUGUCUAAAGAGAUGGGAGAUUGCCUAGCAGUAGCAGGGUCAUUGCUGGCUAAGCCACUGGGGCUGAUGGUGUGGGGUUGCUUCAGCAUCAUCUUGUAUGCUGCAUAGUGAUGCAAUGAACUGCAGUGUGUUUUUCCCCAUUGCCAACGGUUUGCUGGCUCCUGCCGCGUGUGGGUAGCAUGUGGGUGCUAUAGAUGACACCAUUUCCAACUGGAGGGCUUUGGGAGUGUUCUUUUGGACACUGGGGUUAUAUCUGUCAUUUUUAUGCUGUUUUGAAUUUUCCAGUUGUGGGUUUCUUACCCUCCCCUCCCCACCUGGACUUAGUAAACAUGAGAUAUGUUGGCUGUAGCAGCAGUAUAUCUCCAGACCUUAGGUUAUGUGAGUAUAGGAUUGCUCCGAUAACCUUUCUCAUUUCCCCCCAACAUCAUGAUUUCUUAUUAAAGGCUUGCUGAACUGCUGGGGAAAAUAUUCAAGCUUUUGAAAUUGUGUUAGAGGUUCAAAUACAUGCAUACAUUUGGUUUGGUUUUUCUGUGCCUCAAGGAACCAUUUAUAGGAGCAAAACAAUGUAAGCGAUAGUAAUCUCAGAGCAUUCUAGUUUGUUAGGCUGCAAAUUCUGCAUGAUCUUGAAUUAUUCUGGCCACAUAAAAGGAUCCCUGAGGAGAAGGGAGGGAGGAAAUGCAUACAAAACAGGAACAUGGAUCCAUAUAACAAACUACUCCCCUGACAAUGCAAUGUUUGCUGUCUAUUUCUGUAUCUCUAUUUUGCAUCCUAGUUUUACAGCUUUUAAAGAAAGAGUCCAGUGUUCAACUGUUUAUUUUUCAACUAUGUCCUACUGAUUGACUGACUGUGUGGGGCAUUUAGCACUGACAUUGUAUAAAAGUCUGGAAUACCAACUAUGGAGUAGAUCAAAGACUCAGAAGAAGUGUGAAGGGAAAAGCCUAGGUAAAUGUAUAUACACCAUUGUAUAAACACAAGCAGCCCUAUAGAGACAACUGAUCCAGAGUCUGGGAGAGAGGAGCAGGCUCAAAGCAGCAAGCUCCAUCUCUUACUUUACUUGGGUUCAGAAGAAUGUGAGAACACACAGGCAGUGUACAGACAAAUCAACUGCGCAUGAGCUUGUCUCCUAUCACUGGGGACCCUGCUAUAUACCCAAUCUCUCAUAUAAUUUGUGUGGGCGUAUUAUUAUUAUUUUCAUGUACUCCCCUUCAACCAGCUUUAAGGGCAACAUACAAAAAGUUUAAAUCACAAUCAAACAAAUUAAAACAAGAAUGUAAAAAUACCACAACAUAAAACAGCAGUAUAAAACCAGUCUGCAAAAAAACAAAAAACAAACAACCCCCCCCCCCCAAAACCCCGAACAGCAUAAAAACAAAGGAUAGAAAUUAAGGGUGCUUUUCAGAAAGGUGCUCCUCACGCAUGCAAUUUAUUUCAUCUACAUGGUGUCAUUGUCAUUAAAAUGUCAUCCUGUAUUUCCCCCUGUUUAAUCAAGAUGAAUCCUUUCCAGGAAAAAUCCUGUAAUAAUAAAGCCUGUUGUCAAUGACUAGUUUGUGAUAGCUCAAUCCUAAACUGCCACCUGGAAGCUCUUUAAAAGUCUGGAAAAAAUACAAAGGUCUUAGGUGCCGCAAUGCCAUCAUUCCACAGCUGGGGUGCCACUACUGAGAAGACCCUUUCCCCUGGAGCCACAGUCGUGCCUCAUGAAGGGCUUUAAAUAGCAAACUGAGCAUUUUGAAUAGGUGAGUGUUCCUGUUCCACUGAACAUGCAUAAAUUCAGAACAGAGCCUGCUGCCAAAUGCAAUCACUGUCCCUGGAUCAGUUGUCUGAAGGGGGUGUGAUGUAUAGCUAUCAGUUACUGAAAUUUAAAGACAGAAAAUAUAACAUCUUUGCAUCUUUAGUGCAACAUUAGAAUGCACUAGAACAUGAGUAGCAUAAUAUUGCAAUCUUCAGUAAGUUAAAAAAGAUACUUGUUAAAUUCUGAUGUCAGAUGUGCAACAUGCAUUAAUGCAGAAUAAACGACAUUCCUAGGUCUGCACUAAAAGUCACUGACAUGGAUUAAAAUGCAUGCUUCACUAUAAGGUGUGGCUUAAAUGGCUGGAAGAAAUCCACAUUCUAACAACACUUUAACCCAAUCUAGUAUGGAUUCCCAAGAAAUAUUGAGCAUCCACAUUAACAGAUAUUGGUAUUUAGUGUCCUGGAACAUGUUCAGCAAGAAAUCAACAAGGCAUGGAUCAGCAAGUAUGAACUAAACAAAUCAGAAGAUUUAAUGUUAUAUACCUUUCUGUCUGAUUUACUACAUCUGAAGCAAGUCCCACUGAUUUUCACGGGACUUCCUCUCCAGUAAGUGAAUUUAGGCUGGCAGUGUUCAACCAGCUCCUAAUCACGUUACUCUGAAAUACUACUACUACUACUACUACUUUUAUUAUUUAUACCACACCCAUCUGGCUGGGUUUCCCUAGCCACUCUGGGCGGUUCACAGCAGAAUAGUAAAAAGAUGAUAAAACAUCAAACAUUGAAAACUUCCCUAUACAGGGCUGCCUUCAAAUGUCUUCUAAAAGUCAGAUAGUUGUUUAUUUCCUUGACAUCUGAUGGGAGGGUUUCCCACAGGGUGGGUGUCACUACCGAGAAGGACCACUGCCUGGUUCUAAUAAGAUUUAUUUCCAAGAAUAUAUAUAUAGAAUUGAGGCAUUAAGGUAUACUCCUACAAAUGGGAUCCUCAUAACAGAGGGUCCUGAUUGUGUGCGGGACCCAAGAGCUCACCUGACAGGGUUAAAAUGGGGGGGGGGAGCAAGGCGUCCUGGCCAUUCCCCUGGGAUCAUGCCAGGCGAUUUUAGCCAAUAGCCAGUGGGAGGCCUGAUCCCAGGGGCUUUAAAAACAGCAGUGUGAUGCAAGGAGGGGCACUUACUUUGCACUGUUGAACACCCGCCCACCCUCCCUAGCUUAGGUAGAGUCGCUUGACCUUGCUUUGGUUGGGUUGCCUGUUUUGGAACAGGGGCUGGGUAGGAAUUUUUCUAUUUGGCAGAUUGGCUUUAGCCAUUUGGUUUUUGCCUACCCCUUAGCAAAUCGUCACAACUUGUAAGGUGGUGGUUAGGCAGUGGCUCAGUUGGAUUGUGGGGAGGGGAGGUGCGGCCAUCACCUGCCCCUCUAGGAACUGGGUAUUCCGUUAAAGGAAUCUGGGGGUCCUGGCCUGGAUCUCAUCCGAAGUCCGCUUGAGGGGCUAGGGCCAUGCCAGGACCACAGGAACCCCGGGGUGAGCUUAGGUUGGUCCUCAUCGACCUUGCUCCCUCAUUUGGUUUACUCCAUUGGACGAUCACCCUGAGAGGUGGAGUCAGUUAUAGUGGGGGAGUCAAUGCCUAAGCUAAUACUGCUCACGUGAUUGUAUUUCAAAAAAGUUGUGGCCAAAAUUUGCCCAAAAACUUAAACUAAUAUAAGUGUCUGUGUGUAUUUAUUUUGGGGGUGGGUCUUGGGGCCUCGAGACACAAACCCUUACCUGGGAAUAAGCCCAACUGAACUCAGUAGAUAGACUUUUCUUUAUAAAUAUAUUAAUUUAUUAUUAAAUUAAUAAUUUGAUUAUUGACUACUUUUAUUAAGGUGCUUCAACACAACAGUCACAAGGUGAAGUAUUCCUCAAGAUCUGAUUUUAUAGUUGAAAAGGAGGAUAGAGGUCACACAAAGCGCAGAUCAUGUUUUCUAAUAGUAAUUGUGGCAUUAAUAGUUCAGCCAUUUUUUGGUGUUUGCUUCAAAUAAAACAAGGGGAAGAAAGCAAGGGAGGUGAUGCAGAGUAACAAGCAGUAAUGCAAAAUACUGAAAUGCAACAAAAACUCUGCAUUGGAUUCUCCCUUCCUGACCCCUGCUUUAAGCCAAAUAUUGCUGCUUGGGGGAAGCCAGUGUGUACAUCCAAAGAUGGAGUCGUGAACAUUGAAAGAAGACAUUGCUCUUGUGAGCUAAGAUGGCAUCUGCAUGGCCAAUCACACUGUGCUUCUCUAGACAGUCAUUGCAGUGUCUUCUGAAUGCUCGGUUUGCAUCAGCCCUUCUUCCUCAGGCAGAGUAGAGCCCGGAGGGAAAGCAUUCAGUGAAAUAGUAAGUCUCUUCUUUUAAUUUCAUGUAACCUACAAAUCCCACAAGGCUGCUGUUUUAUUGAUGACCCUCGAGAGCUUUUCACUAAGUAACUAAAUAUUUAAUGAUGUUUUCAAAAAAACAUAUUGAAUUGUUGCAAAUUCCUGACAUAAAGCUUGUACUAGAGGAGUCAAAUUGCUAGAGAGUUUAAACUGAUUAAAUGAAUAUUUCAAAGUAAUAGAAUUACUGUGCAAUUUUAAGAAAAUGUAGCUCUAAUAAGAUUUCCAAAAACACACACACACAAACAAGAUGCUUGGGAAAGAUUAUAUCCCACCCAGGAAAAAUAGGUGUUGACAUUUUAGUGGUUUUAAAUUGCUGCAGCUAAUAAUGCCAAUGACUUUAGGAAGACAAAUGCUUUACGAUAUCAAUAUCUGCAGAGAGUGAUGCAGAGAGAAAGGGACUGGGGCAAACAGACCUUGGGUUUCCUAUUCCCUUAAUGGGUCUCUUAUCUCUACCCCAUUAUUACUUCCACAGAAUUUCUCAUAGAGAUUUAUAUCCUAUUUUGAUACCUUGGCUCACCUUUGCUAUUUUCCAUCCACUUUCCAUGACCCUCCCUUCUGUGCAUCUACUCAGUUGAAUCCUAACCCUAACCCUUAAAAUAGUACUGGGGAACCUGUGUCCUGUGGCUACCAGGCCUCCACAUUUGAGCCAUGGCAUGUUUUGGCUUAAAACAUGCCUGCCUGUCCAUCUCGUGACAUCAUCUGACAUCAGGCAUGGGAUUGGGAUGGGUCAGCCCACAGGACCAUGCAAAAAGGAGUAAGUGGGGGUGCCCUCUCAGUCCACUCCUGAGUAUUUCCAGUUGAUCCAGCACUUUUUGAAUUUGGCAGCCUUUUCCAUGGCCCUGUCAAAGUGGGCCAUGGAGGGUGGGGCAGUUAUGGAUCCAGCCCACUAGCUGGAUCAAAUUUCCCACUGCUGCCUUAAAACAUACAGUUGCUGUUGCAUUUUUUAGUUUUGGCUCAUGUAGCUUUUGUUCUACCCAAGUGUUCACCCAAGAAUCUCAGGUUUCCACAAACACUUCCCAGUGAGAUUCAGGGGAUUGCUGGAAAGAGUAGCCCUUAAAAUGAUAAUUUAAGUGCUUGAUGUUGCAGAAUUUGUGAUUACCUGGUGAGAAUAGGAAUUUCCCUAACCUGCUAUGUAAAAUAAAUAAAAAGUUCCCUUAGAAGUUCUAUAGCAGGUGUGACUAACCUGUAAUCCUGUUGUUGGAUUCUAACUCUCACCAGACCCAGACAAGGUGGUCAGUGAUGAUGGGAGCUAUAGCCCAACAAUAUCUGGAGGGCCACAAAUUAGCCACGGAAUAUAAACUUUUUGAACAAGCACAGACCACUGUAUUUAAAGUACUAUUUAGAUAUGUUCUGGACACCAGGAGCUCCACAUCAUCUAAUUUUUAUAGGAAAAUGAAGGUAACCAAGAGAUUGAAACUGGCAAACAUCAUUCUCAUGGCAGACAUGCAGGAUGGUGCCCAGACAAGUCAUACCCCUGAUCAGUAGAUCUAUUGAAAUAUUAUCCAUAUGGAUAGCAAUAAUUGAAAGCAUGUUGCUUACUUGCCCUACACCUUUAAGACAGGUCAGGACGUAAACAACUGAACAGACAGGCAAAUCAAUUCAGAAUGCACACACUGGCACAUUCUCUAAUCAUUAAAACAUGAUGUUUUAUGUCAGACCCUGAACUACUGUUGAGAGUGAAUUUCCUCAUAGCAAACCCUAGGCUGCAUGUAAAAUGUGAGAGAGGAAAAGAGCAGCCUUAAGCAGUGGUGUAGUGAUAAAUUUUGAAGUUCAGGAAUACAUCAUGAAAGCUUCUCCUCAUAGCCAUAUUCCAAGGAAAGUCUAAAAAUGAAGUUGGAUGUGUUAUUCCCUUAUCAUACACAGGGAAAGCAGCUACAGUACAUAACACAAUAUCUAAUUUAUUGGGAUGAGAUGUCUGCAAUCCUAUGCAUUGGGUUUGUUGUUUUUUUUAAUAAGCUCAACUGAAUCCAGUGAUGCUUACUUCUGACUGCAUAGGUUCAACUUGCACAAUGCAUUGAACUUCAACAAAACAUCUCAGCCAGCUAAAAUGCAACCUUUUAAAUUUUAAUUUCAAAUCCAAACAACCUUGUAAAGAAGUGCUGCUGUUUAAACUGCUAGCAUGAAGUAGGGUUCCCAUCAAAAAGAAAGAAGCACCCAGACUUGGCUUAUACAUUUUCUUUAUUCUCUGGCUUCCUCUACUCUUAUUUGUCACAAACAAACUUGAAAGCCCCAUUAUUACCUCACUGACUCCAGAGCAAGUAGGACCUAUGGAUAACCAUGGUGCUCUGGCAGAUGAUGCCAACACAUCUAGACACCCUUCUGCAUUGCUUUUCUAUCACCCCUCUGGCCAUAAGAUAUGCAUGUAUUCUGUUCCCAAAUUUCAUGCAUUUUCCUUUAAUCUCACAUUUUUUUAUUUUAAUGACAACAGGGAAAGAAUUUUGGUUUGAUAAUGAGAAAACCACAUGUGGUUAAAUCCAGCUAGUUUCUUAAAUUUCUCCUGCUGAAAUUAGUGCAAUUUCAGAGUGUUGAACUACGCGUGUGGUUACUGAAAUAUUCUAAACUGAAUUUUUAUGUAUUCAGGAUAUAGCUAGAUGACCUCUUCAGCAGACUGCUGCUGAAAAUGGCAGUUCCAUGGCAGUUUCACCCCUGUGCUUUCCUACGACAUUUAGGAAUACUUAUCUGUUUCAUGACAUCAUUACAUUGUGCUCCACAUAAAUGGCUGCUUCUGGCAGAGGUUGGGAAACAACACAGGUAAAGGUGUGCAUAAAUAUUGGGGAGGGGGAGAGAACAUGGAGCUUCCUCUUUUUGACCCCUGUGUGAGAAAUAUUGGCCACCUUUGGAGAUCACAGUAAACCAGCUCAUGAAGUUGCUGAACUACAACUCCCAUCAUCCAUGAUCAUUGGGCAUGCUUACUAGGGCUGAUGGGAGUUGUAGUUCAGGAACAUCUGGAGGGCCAAAGGUUCUCCACUCCUGGUAUACCAUACACAAGCCAACCCAUUUGUGCUGCAGAGAAACAAACCAUAAUCACUGGCUUGGGGUUGUGUCUGAAAGAGGGGAUGUGCUUUGUUUCACUCCACAGAGAUAAGCCAAGGUUUGUUUGGGAGUUACAGAUCAUCAUGUGUUUGAGCUAAAUGAAUCACAAUCUCUGGUUCAGACAUAAGCCAGGGGUUGCAGUUUGUUCCUCUCCAGCAUGUGUUUGCUAGACUGACACAAAUAUUACCAGAAAGGAGUGAGUAAACUGUUCUUAAUAGGAAGUGUAUUUUUUAUUUCUAUGGUGGCUAUGUUUUUGUCUGGCUAUGAUAUUUACAUUUAUUUAUAAAGAUUGUCUAUUGAUAUAUGCUCAUAUAUACAGGAGAAACUGGUCAGUGAAAAUGCAAAUAAAGAUUAAUUGAUUGAUAUUGAUAACAAACUGAACCAAAACAAUAGAAGUGAUUAGGUAAAAAGCAAGAUUAUAGGAAGAUAAGCUAAAGUUACUGCAUUAUGUUUAUGUACUUCAUUCCACUCAGUAGGGUUUUUCAGACACAACAAACCAAGAGAAACUCCAAGCAUUUAACCCCUUUCCUUGACUAUUUUUGACUGGAAGAAACAUGAACUAACAAGUUUGAAAUGAAACUGUUGCAUUCUAUUCUUGCCAAAACUGCUACAACAAAUCUGAAUAGUCACAUUACAAGAACUUUACCCACACAUUAGUAGGGCAAGAAUUAAGAUGGGUGAGAAGCAAGAAACAUGAUCUUUGUGAAGUAUUUUUAGAGGAAGUUUUGUUUUGUAGUGUUUCAUUUCAGAAAGUAAUUAUUUUCUGUAGCUGCAUUUUACCAUUUCCACCAUUUGCUCCGAACUGUCAUGGCCUAAGUUCAAAUAUUCUACCCCCUGUCCCCAACCCAUUUCUCAUUUUACAGUAUGACAAAGUAUUCAGAAUGAUAUUGGAGUGGGAUGGAUGAGUGAGAUGGAUGAUAUAAAAAAUAGUUUCAACUGGCAUGUAAUAAACCUUUAUUACUUACAGCUGUCCUCUUCUUCGGUGAUACAUUUCACAACAUAACAGGCAUAGAUGAAUCCUGCCAGCUUAAACAAAAGGGAACAGAAUUAGAUAUACAGUAAAAGUGGCUGGAAUUCUCAACAAUGGUGUGCACUUAUAAGACAAAAACAAUCUUCCCUGCAUUUAUUUAUUUAUUUUUGCUAUGAAAAUUGCAAUACUUUAACAUAAUUAUACGUUUGCCGCAGUGAUAAAUAUCCAUAAUGGCUGCAUUGGUGUACUGCGAUGCUGGAAAAUUCUUUUCAGAAUUCACUCAUUUUCCCCCUUUCACUCAGAAAUGAAAUUCAUAUAGAAAAUCAGUAUACAAUAAUACCUCCCACUUUCCCAGUGAAGGCUUUUUCACAUUCUAAAAAAUGCACCCUAACAUUAUUAUACUAUCCACGACACUCCUGUGAGCCUGAAUCUGGAGACAAUAGUAGCAUAUCUACAUGCAUAUAAUGAAUGAGUGAAUGGCCUUGUUGUGUUGAGAUCUGCCCCAUCUUUUUAUAAAUAUCUGCAUGGCUGCAUAGUCCAUAAAAGAGGAGGGGUGGAGGAAAUGCCAAGCUGCCAAAGAAUCUUAAAAACUGCCCCCACAAGAAAACAUUAAAGUGGCAAAGGAAAAACAAUACUGCUGAAAGAGCAAAGUCUUGGGCCAGCCACCCAACUCAGCAGUGUCAGCCCCUCUGCCAUUUGUAAAAUGCUGAUAAUAGGGUUACCGAAACGAAGAGUGUGAAUUGCUUUGAAUACUUAAAAAUGUUUGUUUAAGAAAGAACUAUAAACCACUUAAUUAAAAGAACCCUCUAAGAAGUAUACAUACAACAAUUAUCAACAGUAAACAUAAAAUCGGCAAACAUUAAAAACAAGUAUACAUAACAAAAUUUUGUGCAUGAAUAGGCUAGCUGAAACAAAGAAGAUGCUGCCACAAUAAAUUACCAACAGAUGCAGAACAAACAUCAUAUGGCACUUCACCAUGUGCAAGAUCCACAGGCAGAAGCAGUUGGCUAGGUAUGUAUGGGGCAAGUAAGCUUGUCUUAAGCUGGAUAUACUAACAGUAAAACUUUGAAACUGCCCAGAAACAAAUUAGCAAUCACUGCAGAUUAUUGAGCAGAGGUGUGACAUACAUAAUAUUCAUUAGGUUCUAUAGUGGAGGAAUAUAUGUUCACUGAAGAAUAAAAAAGCAACAUCUAAAAUCUUGAAGUUAUCCAAAUGGUGAAGAAAUUGGGCUGUGUGGCUCAUCAUUAGUAGUAUCGCAAUGAAUUUCCAGUAGAAGCCUGUGACAGUUGCUCCAGCACAUUCCCUUUGGGAAUCGUGCCAAAGGGAGGUAGUCAACCUGGUGUCUUCCAGUUGCUGGGGACUCCAGUCCCCAUCAUUCCUGACUAUAGGCUGGAGAUGAUGGGAGCUGGAGUCCAAACUUCUGGAGAGCACCAUGUUGGCUGUCUUGCACAUGAUCUGACCCAGCCAGAUGGGCGGAGUAUAAAUUAUUAUGAUUAUUAUGAUUAUUAUUGUAGGCUAUCAAUGCAGUGGAGUGUGAGAAAAACCUUCAGGCUCACAAUCUCCUCCCUAGUGUAUACAACAUCAUGAUACUAGGCCUAUGUGCACAGGCCCUAUUUGCAGUGUCACAUGACCUCCCCUUGUUCUUACAGGGUAUACACAGAGUGGGAGAUGCACUACCGCAGGGUUCACUCCUAGGUUCCUUGUGUAGAUGGACAACCAAGGCUAUGUGCAAACAUUUCCCAAGUGCUGGUAAAAAAUAAGGGGUGAAAUUAAGAGCUGCUGUUUUCUCACCCAACAAAAUUUGGUAGAAUUUAUAUAAUUCUGCUUCACAUAUUGCAUCAGGGAAAAUUGUUCCUUACACAUCAAUGGCCAUUUUGAUUUUUCCUUUGAUAUUACUGAGAUCAGAAGAACUUCCUAUCACUUGGUUCUCUGCACCUGCAUUUAUUUCUACUAAAACUAGUACUACAGGAUAUGUUUUCUUCAACACGUUAUAAUGCUGACAACGAUUCAAAGCUCAAUAGGGCCUAAGUGUUAAAAUGGCGUGCUCUACAAACAGAGCUUCUAUUCUCUUUGAUGCUUGGAAGACUUCAUAUGAGCAAGGUGGAUGUGCAGACCAAGCUGUUCCUCACAUCAGGAUGGGACAUCCCUGCUCUUUUGGAGCCCUGCAUGGAUAUUGCAGCAACUAGAUAGGGCUGAUCAUUUUAAUGGUGUAUGAUAGCAGAGUCACAUUUUGAACAUAGUCACCAGCUGAGUUCUGUAGAACAGUACUUCCCAACCAGCAUAAGGAGACUCACUGCUGUGGCUCAGCACAGCUUGUCAAGCAUGCCUCAAAAUAGAUCCAAUUAUAAUUGCUCACUGAAGCAUCCUCUUCAUUGCCAUUUCUCAGCUGGUGAUCAGCCCUAGAUGGGUGUAUAGAGGCUGGUCGGCAAAGCAAUGGCACUUUCUGACCUUUUGGCCAUUGUGCGGAAAAUGUUCACAUCUUUCUAACAUACCCAUUGGCAAGAGUGCUAAAUUAGCACAGUUGUGCAGUGAAAAGUGGUGGGAGACAUCCCCAAGCUCACUAGGCUGAAAAAUGUGAGAAAUUCUGCUGUACAGUUUUAGGAAACAUUUAUUUAUUAUAUUACCUGGCUUCAGCUAAUACAGUGAGCACUUAGCAGACCUGAAAUUUACCACAAUUCCCAUGCUAAACACUAUGCGAAUAAAAGUGUGUUAAAAGGUGUAUGAUCACAUCUGACAGGUAAAGAUAUCAGUAAAGAAAAGAAUGGGAAUGAAAUAUAGUAAAAAACUAAAAUGAAGAGUCACAUUUUCACAAACUCUGUACAGUAUGUAAGUUCAUUUAUAGCCAGAGUACACAACUUUAAGAUAAUACGCAUCUAAACAAGGAUCAGGAUUACACAAGGUCUCCACCUGCCUUGUAUGUUAAUAUCCAAAAUGGCUAGCAUGAAUAAUUUAUUCCAGUUCUUGGAUGAUGCAAUUAUUGAUUCAAUCACUUCUGAGGCAUGAAAUGCAAUAGUACAUUUGUGUUACAGUAGGCUGUCUUGCUAAGAUAAAACCUACUUUCAGAGAUCUCUUCAUGCCAAUCUGAUUACAGACACAACAUUGCCAUUAAGUAAUUAUUGUUCACUAUCAAUAUGCCCACCAGAUGGUGGGAACAGGUAUGGAAAUGUGGCUUUAAAAAUAGGUCAAAACUGAGGGCCAGUUUAGAUGUGAAGACAGCAAACCCCUUUGUUCAUGCCCAGCUCUGUCCAAUCAUGUAUACAUCAAGGGACAAUUUUUAGAACAAAAGGGGCACAUGGAUGGGAAUCCCAAACCCUUCCUGCCUGCAGCUUAUCUCACAAUGCUCCGUAGAUGAGCUUCAAUAGCAGAAGUGGCUUCACCUUGUGGGAGUUGCUACGGAGGUGCUCUGCUUCACUGCAGUUGAUCAACCCCCUUGAGCAUUCUGUCUAAACUUUUUACAACUCUAUAGUAUCACGUAUUUGUAUAGCAGCAUGAUGAUAUUGGCAGGGUGGCUUAAAGGGAAUGCACAAGGCUCUGUGAUCUGUUUGGAUUCCUGACAUUGAAAGUAAAUAACAAACAUGGAUAGCAGGCAAGUAUAUAUUUUUUUAAAACACACACACUUCCCCUGUUCUGUUUCCUACUGCAGACUCACCCUCUCCCAAGGCAUAUGGCCAGAGUUUUGAUCCCCUUGGCCGCAAUCCAAAUCUUCCCACAGGUGCUACUCUUUGUAAAGACCCAAAUGACUCCCUCAAAAAAAGAAAAUGGCACUACUUCCCAUGAAAAAAUGAACCUUUUUUUCGGAGGGGGGGUUAGCUUCCAGGUGAAAAGCUGCAGGUUUCUCAGAUACUAUAAUCUUCCCUUUCAGGUAGUGCCCAUCUCAUUUAUACAAGUCCAAAAACACAGACCUGCUGAUAUGUGGGACAUUGUCCUUAAAAAAUAGCAUUUAUAGUCGUGGUUGCAUCUUACCUACAAUUCUAUGUUACAUCAGAGCUAAAUCCCACAUUUAUUUCACAUCUGUCAUGAGGCUCUGCUGGGAGGCUUUCACACUAGCAGGGAUGAGAAUUCACUGCAGGAGCUAACAUGCACUGUAGCAAAGAACAGUGAAACCUUGUGUGAUGUCAGCAGGCCGUCUUUGCCUCAUUGAGCUAUUAUAGCCUUUACUUAAUGUGACCAAAAGUUGAAGGGCUGUUUAACCCACACAUGUGCAAGUCCUGGCUCUUUGAUUUAUUUUUGCAAAUCAAUGGAUCACACUUACAGCUCAACAGUCCCCAAAGUGGUCUAAAAUUACAGGGAUGAGGAUGUUCUUAUUAACAGAGUUUGCCACACGCCUGUUGCUAAAAUGUCAAAAGUUAAUAUCUUCUUAACUAACCUUCGCCCACAUACCGCAUAGCAAAUGUACUGUAGCACAAAUUGUACAUACCACUGAUCUUUUAAUUGUUUCCAGUUGCAUCCCCUUAAGUAUUGCAAAAACUCAUUAAAUAAAUUUCAGGAGGCAAUCUUACUGAUUAACGACAUACCUUUUUCAACUAGAAUGCGUUCUCUUCUCUAAAUAUUAGGGCUAAUGUAAGAUGGGAGGUUUUUUUUAUUACAAAACUAAAACUAAAAAUGAAGCCUAAUAACAAUUUUGAGGGUUGCAACUGGGGAAUAAGGCUUGACUUUUAUCUUUCUGGCUGUGACCCCACCCCUCUCUGGAAAGUUCUCUAAUGAUGUAGUUGUUGCAUAGGCUGUGUGUGAUCUUCCUUGCAGUUUGCUGAGUGCAGGUUAACUCUUGCCUCCCCAGCUGCAGUCUCCAAGAAGAUCAACCUGGGGGCGGGGAGCAAACACACAUUUUUCAAGCAGAAGGGGGAAAUUGAGUGUGUGCAUGUAUGUGUGGUUGUCAUGUGUACAUGCAUGCAUGUGUGGUUGCAGUGGGUCUAGGGUUGUGGUGUAUGUGUCAUGCUGACUACAGUUUCUCAUUAUUUAGGCAACCAAGCCCAAAUAUUUAGCAACUCGUGUCUUACAAAGAACCCGUUUAAGCAGAAAUCAUAUUGAAGUUGGAGUUCAAAGGAAGAAGAAGCUCCAAACAAGUGGUAAGCAGCAAGUGAAAGAUUAAGAGAAUUUUCAUUAAAUUUCACUCUUACAUUUUUUUACCAGUGAACAUCCUCCUAUGUUCACACGGACGUGGGCUUCUGCUUGGAUACGCAGAAUCAUGAAACAAACCCAGAAGUGGCUCACUGAGUGAGGUGGAGUCACUCCACUAGCUUCAUGGCAGGUGGAUCACCAUUGUUGAUUGAGAGACACAAGGUAGCAGGGAGGUUAGUCUGGUUCAAAUGCAUGACAGGUGUGCUGGGUUGGUUCUGCUGGUGCAUUUGCACCACACUGACCUCCUUGCUAUAUUGUCCCUCCCUCCUGGUAAGCAACACUGAACCACCUGCUGGGAGCUAGCAUAGGGGUUCUGCCCCACCCAGCAAACCACUUCUGUACAGGUGUCCCCAGUAUUUAAACUUGAUUUUUAAAUCAAGUUUUGGUUAAAGUUCACACCUGCAACUCUGUUUUCUCUAAUAAUUGGUUAUUAGUUCACACAUAGGGAUAGGCAUUCAGUUGCUUCCCAAUAGUGUUUAUGCAUAGAAAGGAGAAGCAAUGACAAGUCAGCUGUGUGUGUGUGAAUCUGAUACAACCAGAUUUAUAGUGUUUUCAAUGAGGAAGUGUAUUUCAGGAAAACAGACCUCAACUUUUGUGUGUAUGUGUAUUAUGCAACCAGCCUUGAGUUACCUUUUAGGUUCUGAGUCUGAUUUUUAAAAAAGUCACCUGUAUGGGCCUACGGCCGUAAUAAAUUAUUAUUAUUAUUAUUAAAAAAGUCACCUUAGAAAGGAGAUAAUGAGUCUUUGGGGGAUGAUGGAGAGAAGGACCCUAUCUCUGCCUUAAGAGAAUUACCCUAAAGAUAGAAAUGCUGCCAUGGAAACACUUCGGCCCUUUGAGAACUUUCCUGAAACCUCUGCUCCUUUUGUGGAGAAUGCAAUGAUUAGAAGAGCUGGAAGAAGGCAUACUGCCUAGAGUCAAUCCAUAGCUCCCCAGCUUUGAGAGAAUUCAGAUGUUAUGGAGAUCAAGUAAAAUAAAAACCUAACCAUGUGUACUCAAAUACAAGUCUUCUUGAAUCCAGUGGGGCUUUCUUCCAGAUGAGUUGGGGUUAGGAUUGCAGCCUGGUCCAGAGGUAUCACAAACCAUUCAGAGGCAAUGAACAAUUUCUCAUUUUCUAAUACAUACAGUGGCGUAGCGUGGGGGGUGCCAGGGGUGCCGGCCGCACCGGGCGCAACAUCGGGGGGGGGCAUGAGUCCAGAGGGAAGGGACAAGCAAUCGAGGCUUGUUUGGGGUGGGGGGUCGUCGUCUCCGUUUGGCCGGCCCCCCUCGAGGAAGCGGGAACCUCUCCAAGGCGCAGCGCGCCGUCGGUGGAGGGAAAAGAGCCACGCAGCAGCAGCAGCAAAGCCGGGAGGAGGAGGAGGUGGAGGCGCCGCCUGCCGCAGGAUCCGAUCCGAGCCUGCUAAUCGCUUGCUGGGAAUUAAGCGGCUCAAAGAGGCAAAGGAAGAGGUGGAGCCGCUGGCCCGGCCGGGAGGAAGCUGGAGAGAGCAGCGCGCCUGGGCGCGGCGAGGUUGGGUAGGUGCGCCCUGGCUGGCUACCCGCCUCCCAGGCUCAGUGCCUCCAUGACCCCUCCAGCGGCGAUGGGAGAGAUCCCUGGCUGGCCUGCUCCUGCUUCUCCCCCGCCUCCUUCCCGUUGCCGGCGCCUUGAUCUCAUCCGGAUCAGGGACGAAACACGCCCAUCCUUCGCUACUCCUUGUCGGGUCACUGCUUCAUUUCUCCAGGGAGAGAGAGAGGAGAGGAGAGGUGCCGGGGAUUGCCAAGCGCGUGUGACGCAAAGGGCCUGCCCACGCCCAGGCUGAGCUCCGCGUGGCGGGGGCAGAGGAAGGCGCUCUGCACAUGCUUCGGAGGCGCUCGCUCUUUCCGAAGAAGGACCCGGCUACUGGAUCAAGGCCACAAGGGCCCAUCUAGAGUGGCCAAGCAGACGCGUCAAUGAGAAGCAGGACCGGGGCACAAGAGCACUCUCCCUUCCUGCUGUUUCCAGGGGGUGGAAGCAUCGCUGCCUAGAGCAGUGGCGUAGUGUGGGGGGUGCAGGGGGGCCGGCCGUACCGGGCACAACAUCUGGGGGUUAGGAUUAGGGUGCGCAAAUCCACGGGUUAGGGGGCGCAAAUUACUUGCCUUGCCCCGGGUGCUGACAACCCACGCUACGCCACUGAAUACAUACAUGCAUACAUACAUGCAUACACACACACACACACACACACACACACACUUUACAAAGAGUUUUAGCUAAUCUUAGCUACUUGAUGGGGAUACUUGUGUGAUAUAAUAUGAUGUAUGAUACUUCUCUUUGCAAACACAUGAUUGUUGCCCCAUUUGUGGAUCAUUUAUAGGUUUACUGUAUACUUGUAUACUGGAUGCACACCUUAAAUGUGUGAAAAGUCUCCCAGAAACAGUUCAAGAAGUGCCCUAUGGCAUCCAUUCCCUUAAAACAACUCAGACUAUGAACCAGAGACUCCUUUCCCCUUCCCCUUUACAACCUAUCUGCUUUUCAAGGCUCAUCUUAAUUCUGCUGGAUUCAACUCCUAUCCAGAUCCUCUGGAAAACAAACUUUGUGUGUGUACUUUCCCCCUUUUUGUCUCUGAUCUGGGUGAGGCAGGAGAGAAGUGAUCAGAGGGGUGCUGGUCGCAGGUACAGCAGUCACUAAAAAAAUCCUUGUAAGUCCAUGGGCCUAAAAGUAUGAUGAUUUCUGGUAUAAACUUUCAUGGACUAGAGCCCACUUUGCAAUUAACACAUUGACCCACUGUGAGUAUACAUGCUCCCCCCACCUAAUAUAGAUGGACAGUGUUCAGUAUUCAAAUGGCAAGGGUUUGAUGAGGAUGGGCCAUUUUCACGAAAACCCUCUUCAGGCACUCAUUCCACAUAAUUAUAGAGUUCUAGACCAUAUAGUGGGGGAGCCUAUGUAUAUUCAAGAGGUUCCUCUUCAGACAUCCCCCCUCAAACACAUUGGGAUGUGACAGUACAGGUGGGGCCAGUUGUCACAGUUCCUUCCUCUCCAUAUGAUUACAAUUGUGUGGAGGGAACACGCAAAGAAAAAAGCAAAUGCAAUAACUAGAAAUUGAUAUUCUGUCCCAUUUAAAUUUCUGCCAUAUAAACAUUACACGAUAAACUAAUAGAGGAUUAUGCAAAUCUGAAAUAAUGUUUCUUAAACCAUCUAAUCUUACAGUGUUUUGGAAGCUAAAAGUUUUCUUGACUCUAGUUUGAGUAUACUUCUGGAGUUCCCAAGGUCAUCAAGUGCUGUGAUCAUACUAAAGCAAAAUCAAUAUUUAUCAAAAUACUGUCUCACUACUUCCCCUGACCCUCUUUAUGGAGACAAAUUGUUUUCAUACACUGAGAACACCGUUGGAUUUAGGGAGAGACUCUCUAUGAAAGCACAUAAUUCUUAUAUAUGCUCUUAUUUCCUUUUAAUACUCAAACAGUAGAUUGAUCAUCAAAAGGAAGUAACUUUAUUAAGCCAG